AGGGCACCACCAGGAGUGGAGCCUGCGGCUUAAUUUGACUCAACACGGGAAAACUCACCCGGCCCGGACACCGUAAGGAUUGACAGACUGAGAGCUCUUUCUCAAUUCGGUGGGUGGUGGUGCACGGCCGUUCUUAGUUGGUGGAGCGAUUUGUCUGGUUAAUUCCGAUAACGAACGAGACUCUGGCCUAUUAAAUAGACGAUAUAUUAAAAAGUAUAUCGCGCUUCUUAGAGGGACAAGCGGCGUCUAGCCGCAUGAAAUAGAGCAAUAACAGGUCUGUGAUGCCCUUAGAUGUCCGGGGCUGCGCGCGCGCUACACUGAAAGAAUCAGUGGGCGUUUUACCUAGUUCGGAAGGACUGGGCAACCCAAGUAAAUUCUUUCGUGCUUGGGAUAGGGAAUUGCAAUUAUUUCCCUUAAACGAGGAAUUCCCAGUAAAUUCGGAUCAUAAGCUCGAGUUGAUUACGUCCCUGCCCUUUGUACACACCGCCCGUCGCUACUACCGAUUGGAUGACUUAGUGA
rnacentral:rRNA from 1 species